rnacentral:rRNA from 1 species
GUGGGGAAUAUUGGACAAUGGGCGCAAGCCUGAUCCAGCCAUGCCGCGUGAGUGAUGAAGGCCUUAGGGUUGUAAAGCUCUUUCAGUGGGGACGAUAAUGACGGUACCCACAGAAGAAGCCCCGGCUAACUUCGUGCCAGCAGCCGCGGUAAUACGAAGGGGGCUAGCGUUGUUCGGAUUUACUGGGCGUAAAGCGCACGUAGGCGGAUCGUUAAGUCGGGGGUGAAAUCCUGGAGCUCAACUCCAGAACUGCCUUCGAUACUGGCGAUCUUGAGUCCGGAAGAGGUGAGUGGAACUCCUAGUGUAGAGGUGGAAUUCGUAGAUAUUCGGAAGAACACCAGUGGCGAAGGCGACUCACUGGCCCGUUACUGACGCUGAGGCGCGAAAGCGUGGGGAGCAAACAGGAUUAGAUACCCUAGUAGUCC